rnacentral:misc_RNA from 1 species
UUUCCGUAGGUGAACCUGCGGAAGGAUCAUUAUUGUAUAACCGAGGUGCGAGGGCUGUCGCUGACCCGAAAGGUCGUGCACGCCCGAGUGCCUUCACGCACAUCCAUCUCACCCCUAUGUGCACCACCGCGUGGGUCCCCCUUUGGCUUGUUCGGAGGGGGGCUUACGUUUUCACACAAACUUUGUAUGCAGUGUAGAAUGUAUUUUUUGUUUUUGCGAUCACGCAAUCAAUACAACUUUCAACAACGGAUCUCUUGGCUCUC